CCCGGCCCCAGUUUGUUAAUAUUAAUGGUCUGCCCCUCCUCAUUAGGACUCAAACAUUAUCACUGGCAAAUAUAAUUCCCAUUUUGUUUUCCAUCAGAUCAUUGAGAUGUUACACCUGAGCAUCCUGGCCAGACCUGGGAGCUGAUCUUUCUCUGAUUUACUUUAUGGUGCCCACCUGCUUGUCUGCCUCCUGGGCCUGUUCUCUUUUCACUCGAGGUUGCAGAGCAUAUUGGCCUGGUUUCCCACCGAUUGUGUCCUCAGAGUGCCCUCUGUCUGGAAGACCUGAGAUUUGGGUGGAUUCCUGUCUUCUCGAGGUCCCCCAGAAUAUUUCGAGGUUCCAGGCACCUGCCAGAUAAGCGACAUUCCUUACUUACCAGGUCAAAAGAAAGCCUUCAUUCAGGAUUUGAAUAUUUUUU
rnacentral:lncRNA from 1 species